GCCUGUAAAAAGAAUGCUGCAUUUAAAAGAAAAUACCAAGAUUCCCACCUGUGUUACGGGUUCAUAUCGCAACAGGUGAUUCACAAGACCCACAACCCACUCUGCGUGACAGACCUGCUCAUGAAACCAUGAAAACCUCAAAAGUGUGCCGCCACGCGGAGACAAAACACCCAGCAUUGAAAGAAAAGCCCUCAGAAAUAUUCUGAAAGAAGAAAACGGGAACAUAAAGGACAGAAAGAGUUAUUGAAGGCCACUACUUGCACAAAUAUGUCUGGGCUAAAUGCACCAUUCCUGGUCGCAGAUCGCAUGGGGAGCCUGCAGUAAAAAAGGUUGAAAACACCCCACUUUCGGUGAGCACAAUAAGAAGAAUAAAUGAAAGAGCAGGGGGACAUCGAGGCACAGUUAAUCGAGAGGAUAACGCAUAACUGCCAUGCUUUUAGGAUAACUUAAGCUGAGCAUGCCGAUAAACAACUUCAAGCCGGUUUUUGAAGAAUGCUUCACUCUCUGCUGCCUGUUGUCAAGUUUGUUCAGAAUCCAGUGCUUAAAAGCUCAUUCUCUCUAAAAUUGGCCCAGCGACAGCUCGUAUCUGGAGACGAAUUUCAAAGUCGACUCACUCCGAAUUUGAGCCUACCGGGUCCAGCAUGAAGAAGUUGAGGCCGGCACCGGUGCUGAGGGCCACCAGGGUGGCGCUGCCGUAGAGGGCGUAACCGGCGCACACCAUACUGCUGCCCGGCUGGAGGGCGUCCUCCUCGGUGGGCUCGCCCUCGCUCACCUGAGUGGACCACACGCUUGCAGACGGCAAAGAUGGUGCCGAUGGAAGCCAGACAGUCGAUGUUGCUGGAGCCGUCCAGAGGGUCAAAGCACACCACGUACUUCCCCUGGAACACACAAGUUGAACGCCAUUCACUCAGUGGGCUGCAUGUAUAGAUACGGUAUGCGUACAUACAUGAUGAUACAGUAUACAGUUCUUUGUACCAAUCUCUAUCAGGGGUUACCCAGCAGGUGAGAUUCACGCCUUGCAUACCAAUUAAUUUGCCAGUUUGAUCGACACUUCCAAAUGAACAAACACUACAUGCUCAAAUUACUCCCCGAGAGGGGUUGCGUCGGGAAGGGCAUAAA